CUUGAGAGAGUAACAUGCUGCUGAGACCAUCUGGACAGUGUACAUGACUGAACCCGGUUAAAGCCUUUAUAUAAACUUCUAAGAUGCUGGUGGGCAGCUACGGAGAUCUACUUGUCUUGCUGCCACACAAGAGAAGCCUCGCAUCAUGGCUUGCCAAGGAUCCGAACCAGCAAACCCCAGGCCACAGAAGCAGAAUGUGCACACUUAACCACUGCUCCACUGGGCAGGAGCCUCCACUUUUCUAUUUUUAUUGAGGCAAUAAUGGUCAAAGGGCAACAUGAAGUCAUCUGUAAGAUGUCACGGUGCAAAUUGAGUUCAGUCUGAUAAUCAACUCAAGAAUAAAGAAACCUAAUUUCACAUGUUCAAGAAAGACUCUAGCUGAUCUCUAGCCCUGUGGAUACUAGAGCAAAUUUCCUGAUAUCACCUGUUGGUCACCCUUUGCCUCAUUAAACGACUGUAGAUCAAUGAGCAUGCAGAAUCAGGAGACAGUUUCGUCCCAGGAAGGAAAAUUGCAGUCCAACUUCAAAGCAACACACCAGACCUCAGACGAAAGUGUUCCAGUUUGUUACUUUGCACGACUGUGUGUUUCAAUUUAUUACACUGAUGACUUACCUUGUACUACUCUGUGUUCAAUUAUGUAUUUCCUGUUCUCAUUACAGACCUUCAAACGACCGCAAAGAUAUAUUCAUUUAAUGCUUUUUCUGUUCUUUUAAAAUUUUUAUCACUCAGAAAUGAGGAAGAAAAUGGUUUGAACGUUAGCACUGGGUAUAAACUCAGAUUGAUUCUAUGUACUUAAAUUACUCUGAUAAUUGGAGCAAAGAAACUCUUUCACCUGAAAUAACCGAAUAGUAGCUAGAAAAAUAUAUUUGG
rnacentral:lncRNA from 1 species